rnacentral:rRNA from 1 species
GGCUCAGGAUGAACGCUAGCGGCAGGCUUAACACAUGCAAGUCGAGGGGUAGAGGUUGCUUGCAACCUUGAGACCGGCGCACGGGUGCGUAACGCGUAUGCAACCUACCUUUUACAGAGGGAUAGCCCAGAGAAAUUUGGAUUAAUACCUCAUGGUAUAUAUCAUUCGCAUGUUUGGUAUAUUAAAGUUCCAACGGUAAAAGAUGGGCAUGCGUCCUAUUAGCUAGAUGGUAAGGUAACGGCUUACCAUGGCAACGAUAGGUAGGGGUCCUGAGAGGGAGAUCCCCCACACUGGUACUGAGACACGGACCAGACUCCUACGGGAGGCAGCAGUGAGGAAUAUUGGACAAUGGGCGCAAGCCUGAUCCAGCCAUGCCGCGUGCAGGAAGAAGCAUCUAUGGUGUGUAAACUGCUUUUGUACGGGAAGAAACACUCCUUCGUGAAGGAGCUUGACGGUACCGUAAGAAUAAGGAUCGGCUAACUCCGUG